AUGGUGGGCUCGCUGCCAGAAGAGCGAUGGCGUUUUACCGGGUUCUACGGAGAACCUAGAUGGGAGGACAAGCAUCUGUCGUGGACGUACCUGCGCGGCCUGCAUACUCACUAUAAUGCACCUUGGGUUGUCGCGGGAGACUUCAACGAAAUUCUUUAUUCGCAUGAGAAGGAAGGAGGAGCCCCGCGGCUGACACGCAUGAUGCAGGACUUCCGUGAUGCAUUGGUUGACUGCGAGUUGGAGGAUAUGGGAGCGGUGGGUGAUCAGUUUACAUGGCGCCUGAGACGGCUGCGUCAACGACUUGACAAAGUGGUCUGCAAUGGGAGCUUGCAUGGUCUGUUCCCGAAUGCAUUUGUGACCAACGCACCACAUAUUAAGUCUGACCAUAGGCCUCUUGUG
rnacentral:rRNA from 1 species